rnacentral:rRNA from 1 species
UACGGAGGAUGCGAGCGUUAUCCGGAUUUAUUGGGUUUAAAGGGUGCGUAGGCGGACUGUCAAGUCAGCGGUAAAAUACGGGGGCUCGACCUCCGCCCGCCGUUGAAACUGACGGUCUUGAGUGGGCGAGAAGUAUGCGGAAUGCGUGGUGUAGCGGUGAAAUGCAUAGAUAUCACGCAGAACUCCGAUUGCGAAGGCAGCAUACCGGCGCCCAACUGACGCUGAAGCACGAAAGCGUGGGUAUCGAACAGG